GUUUGCCUACGGGAGGCAGCAGUGGGGAAUAUUGGGCAAUGGGCGCAAGCCUGACCCAGCAACGCCGCGUGAAGGAAGAAGGCUUUCGGGUUGUAAACUUCUUUUGUCAGGGACGCAGCAAGUGACGGUACCUGACGAAUAAGCCACGGCUAACUACGUGCCAGCAGCCGCGGUAAUACGUAGGUGGCAAGCGUUAUCCGGAUUUAUUGGGUGUAAAGGGCGUGUAGGCGGGAAUGCAAGUCAGAUGUGAAAACUAUGGGCUCACCCAUAGCCUGCAUUUGAAAAUGUAUUUCUUGAGUG
rnacentral:rRNA from 1 species